rnacentral:sRNA from 1 species
GGAUGUGAGGGCGAUCUGGUUGUGACAUCUGUCACCCCAUUGAUCACCAGGGUUGAUUUGGCUGAUCUGGCUGGCCAGGCGGUGUCCCCUUCUUCCCUCACCGCUCCAUGUGCGUCCCUCUCGAAGCUGCACUCUCGGUCGAAGAGGACGACCAUCCCUGAUAGAGGAGGACCGGUCUUCAGUCAAGGGUAUACGAGUAGCUGCACUCCCCUGCUAGAACCUCCAAACAAGCUCUCAAGUGUCCUGGAAGAUACUACUUCCCUGAGUCCAGAGCCAGGGAAACCUGGAGGUUU